CUCGGAAGUGACGUAAGGGAGCGGGGCCUACAGAGCGCGGCUGGUGGCGCUGGCAGCCGGGAGGGUGCGAGGGCUCGGUGGCAGUGACCAGGAGACAAACUGUGGAAUGUGCACGUGAUGAUGGACAACAAGGAUUUAGAAGCUGAAAUCCACCCCUUGAAGAAUGAGGACCGGACAUCGCAGGAGAACCUGGGGAACCGCACUGAAAAGGAAGACCCCUGUAAGAGCCUGCCUCCACAGUCCCAGCUAUCCCGGUGCCGGACAGUGGCAUUUUUUCUCUCCCUGUUUAUCUGCCUUUUUGUGGUGUUUGUCGUCUCAUUCAUCAUCCCGUGUCCAGACCGGCCUGUAUCACAGCAAAUGUGGAGAAUCAAUUACGACACAGCAGUCACCUAUGAUUUUCUGGCUAUGAAAGACAUAAACAGGGACAGGAUCCAAGACAUUCUCUUUCUUUAUAAAAAUGCCAACAGCAGCAACAAUUUCAACCUGUCCUGCGCCGAUGAAGGCUUCUCCUCUCCCUGUACCUUUGCGGCUGCUGUGUCGGGAGCCAACGGCAGCCUACUCUGGGAGAGGCCUGUGGCACAGGAUGUGACUGUCAUGCAGUGCACUGGACCCCAGCAGAGGGCCAGUGGGGCCUUGUCAGCCUGUGUCCUUGUGGGCGGACCCGGAUCUGUCAUCGCAGUGGACCCCUUCACAGGGGAAACCCUGUGGAGCCAUCCCGGCAGCCUUGGGAGGAACGUGUCCAUCCUGAGUCUGCUGCUCGGGGUGCCUGAUGUCAACAACGAUGGGCUCCCCGACCUGCUGGUCCUCACCAGGGAGGAAAAGGAGGUGAACGGCUACGUCUACUCGGGCAGCACUGGGAGUCAGGUUGGCCGCAAAGGCAGCCUCGGCACAGACGGAGAGGGUGGCUCGCUCCUGCAUGUCACCAGGACGGGCGCCCACUACCUCCUCUUUCCCUGUGCACAUUCUCUCUGUGGCUGGUCCAUGAAGAGUCUCUUUGAGGAGAUGACAGGGAAAGAGAGCCUCCUCAAGAAGGACCCACUGUGGGAGCGUGCCAUCAAUGCCACCACCCACAGGGUGUCCUCACCCAGGUUGAUCUGCAUGCUUGUGUCUGCCACCAUAUGCCCAGAUUGGAGAUGGGGCAAGCCCAGGGUCCAGUGGAGCAGCUCCGGAGCCAUCCGCUACCAGAUGCAUGUCCCUGGGAGAGCUGGCAACGAUCUGCUCCUCGUGGGCUCUGAGGCCUGUGUGCUGCUGGAUGGACAGGACCUCGCACCCAGGUGGACCCUCGGCAACACCCAGGUCUUCAGAAAACCCGUCCUCGGUCACUACAAACCAGAUACCUUGUCAGUGGUCAUUGAAAAUGGAACUGGCAUCAACAGACAGAUCUUGCUCCUGGACCUCAGCACCGGGGUCAUCCUGUGGCACCAGCCCCUCCCAGGCUUCCCUGGGGGCCCCCCGUCUGCCAACCUGCCAACCGCAGACCACCGCUCAGCAUUCUUCUUCUGGGGCCUCCCUGAGGGGGUUGGCGCAAAUCAGACGGAGACCAGGAACACCCCACACAGCCUCUACAUGUUCCACCCCACCCUACCCAGCAUCCUUCUGGAGCUGGCCAACAUCUCCACAAACAUCGUUGCUUUUGAAGCCAUCCUGUUUGAGCCGAGCCGCCACGCUGCCUACAUCCUACUGACGGGCCCGGAGAGCCCGGCUGAGCCUGGCCUGGUCUCAGUGACCAAGCACAAGGUGCGGGACCACAUCCCAGAUAGCAGAGUCGUGCACCUGGGCCAGGACCGGGCUGACAGCGACCAGGCCAUCAGGGACCGCUUCUCCCGGCUGCGGUACCAGAGCGAGGCAUGAUGCUGCUUCCAGAAUUAAACCUCCAGAAAGUCAGCUUCACGGUCUUCAGAACUGCUCUGCCAUUCCAGCUGUGGCAGCACUGCCACAAGGCUCACUACCUUGCUGUCCUCCCCACCCUGGGGGCCAUGUCCGCGCUAUGUGGGGAAGGGGACACUAGGGCCCACUGUCCUUUCCCCCCUCCUGGAGGAUCGUGCUGGCCCUGAUUGGGGAUCACUUCCAAGGCCUGCAGAGUGGGGAAUCCUGCAGUACCCUACCUACCCUUGUCCUUGCAGCUUCUCUGCAGGCCAAAGCCACUCUCAUAGGGGGCCCCAGGCGUCCCCAGGCAAGUCCUGCUGAGGCUCCUCCUCCCCUUUCCCUCAGCACCACCCCAGGGGUCACAGAGCCAAGUGGCUCCGCCUCUGCAGGUAGUCCUUUGGGCGUGGUCUCUAGAUGACUCAGCCCCAGCCUCCCCACAGCAAGGUACCUCUACCGUGGCAGGGGUCACUGCACGGAUGGCCUCUCUGAUCCGGCCUGUGAGGGGGCAUCGGAGAGGCAGUCUCUGUCACAUGAGUGGGCCCCCCUCCCACUGCACACCAGUGGCUGAAGCCGUGGCCUGCACCACUGUGCCCCUCACAGGUCUGUCCCUCCUUGGUGCUCGCCACUGGAGCCAGGCUGCCUGAUGCAGGACUCACCUCUGUGCCUUGUGUUCCAGGCUGAGGGCAGCUGUGUGAGCUCAGCCCCCCUGGACUUCCUCGGGCCUCGCUUUGGGACCAGAGCAGCCCAACCGCCAGACACCGCAAGAAACCAGUGAAUAAACAUGUGCACUGUCCUGUGCAGAAGCCUCAGGGCAGGGGUGCACAGACUGUGAUACCCUGUGUGAAGCCUCAUCGCUCCACAUGCAGCUUUGUGAGCACAGCGACCCUGGGAGGGUCAGGGGUCACUGCCCGACCCCCCAGGCCGCAGCAUACCUCAGUCCCC